CGUGUAGGCGGCUUGGUAGGUCUGCUGUGAAAACUCGAGGCUCAACCUCGAGCUGUCGGCGGAAACCACUUGGCUAGAGUCCGGAAGAGGAGAGUGGAAUUCCUGGUGUAGCGGUGAAAUGCGCAGAUAUCAGGAAGAACACCUAUGGCGAAGGCAGCUCUCUGGGACGGUACUGACGCUGAGACGCGAAAGCGUGGGGAGCGAACA
rnacentral:rRNA from 1 species